GGUUGGGGUAGAGGUGGCAGCACUGUCAGAGAAACCAACUUGCUGAGAAGGCGUUUGCAUUUCAAAGAGUUCAUUCAAAAAGUCAAAGGAAGCAUAUUUUAUGAUUCCUGAAAAUGAGGGACUCUGCCUCAGGUUGAGUUGACAAGACAUUGAACAGCGCCAAGAAUUUGUUUUGGCUCAUAGUUUAAGAAGUGAUGAAGUGAAUCCUGGAGGAAGACAUUGCUGCGGUAUCAUGAGAUCGCAUCAUCGUAGCUUCUGCAGUCAGGAGUGGAGAGUAGACAGGAAGUGGCAUCGCUUUCCCGAUUCAUAGCCUUCACAAGACCCUAGACUGCACAGAUCAUGGGAAGACGAAUGCAGAUGAGCAGUCAUGAUACCCUUGCUCGCCCACCCUCAGUUCCAGACAUACCAACACCUCCAGAUACUAACAGGUCAGGCACUACAAUGCCAGGAAUGGACUUGUAGGACCCAUGUCAGCAAGUUCUGAGUUCCAGCAACUCCAAGCAGCUGGGAUCCUGGCCUAGAAAACAAGGUUUCUCACUAAUACCAAAGGUGUUGGACCCGGAGCAAGAAGAACUCCAUCAUGGGUUCCCUCUAGACUCCCUCUGUGACCCCAAGUUCUAGACACCAGUGACAGACAGAUGAGUUUCCUCACUCUUCCUAAAUUGGGCUGGAUUACAGGAUGGCUUUUUGUUGG
rnacentral:lncRNA from 1 species